rnacentral:pre_miRNA from 1 species
UGUUAAAAUUUUUGUCUAUUUGUACUAUUAAAAACUAACAUAGCUGACAAAAUAACUAGACAAUAACAUGUGGCAUGCUAUGUGUACCUCAUGUUGACAUAUAGGGAUAUGUUUUUAACAAUAGAAAUAGAUGAAAUUUUUAACA